rnacentral:rRNA from 1 species
UGGGGGAUAUUGCACAAUGGGCGAAAGCCUGAUGCAGCGACGCCGCGUGGGGGAUGAAGGCUUUCGGGUUGUAAACCUCUUUCGCUAUCGAACAAGGCCCGCUUAGGGUGGGUUGAGGGUAGGUGGAGAAGAAGCGCCGGCUAACUACGUGCCAGCAGCCGCGGUAAUACGUAGGGCGCGAGCGUUGUCCGGAAUUAUUGGGCGUAAAGGGCUUGUAGGCGGCUUGUUGCGCCUGCUGUGAAAACGCGGGGCUUAACUUCGCGCGUGCAGUGGGUACGGGCAGGCUUGAGUGUGGUAGGGGUGACUGGAAUUCCAGGUGUAGCGGUGGAAUGCGCAGAUAUCUGGAGGGACAACGAUGGCGAAGGCAGGUCACUGGGCCAUUACUGACGCUGAGGAGCGAAAGCAUGGGUAGCGAACAGG